ensembl:lncRNA novel transcript, antisense to MBP
AUUCAGUAAAAUACUUUUAAAAAGCCUCAGGCAAGAACAUGAUUUUCCAGAUUAGGAGAAGGUGAUAUAAUAAUUAGUCAAAUGGGAAGAAAGGCGUUCCAAGAUAUCAUUUAUCAAAAUGGCCUUGGAUAACUCUCUUCAACCUCUUUGGUGCUGAGCUACUUCUAGAUAUACAUAGUUUUAGAAAAGAAUGCAUACUAACAUUAACGUUUUGAGAAAAUUUAUCAUGAUCACAGAAUCAGAUAUUGCUUAUAUUUUAUAGGGCCUAUCAGAAUGAAGAAACUGAAAUAUUUCCCAUCUAUGCAUCUAGAGGAGGGACAACAUGGCAGAGAUUCCUGUAAGUCUUGGGUUAUUUCUGAGUGCUGGUUAUCGUGGCAUCUGAAAAUGUAAAUAAGUGAUGUACCCUGUGGGGUAGCUCUGCUGCAGGCACCCCGGGGACCUGCUGGUGACCCUGCCCUUCUCCUGCUGCGAUCAUCCCAGGCCAGCGUGACACUCAGCAGCGUGGACGUCUCUCUGCAAACGCCCAAAUGCAGUGUAUGAAAUGUCAUCCCUAGAAAUGGCUUCAUUUGGGAUAAAGCUUUGAACUUGCGUGCGUGCCCCGCACCCCGUGGCGGACUGAGUCACUGCUUUGCUGUUGCGGCGUGGUGAGUAAAACUUUCCCAGGGGAGCCGGAGUUGAGUGAGAAAGGGAUGCAGGACACGCAGGAGCUGACACAUCUCUAUGGAUUUAAGUCGCUGUUUCCACAAAUGCUACUCACAUGCCCACACGUGUAGGGCAGGACUGUCACGCGUCCACUCUGCUCAGCUUUCCAGGCCGGAUCUGGUCCCAGCCAUUCUACCUGACCCAGACUCCCCGCACCCCUGCCAUUCCCCCAGCUGCCGUCCUGUGUCUCCUGAUUUCUGCGUUUUUGAUCCUGAGGCUCUCUGCCUCUCUGCCUCCUCCCUGGAGGCCGUGCAAAUCCUGUUCUCCUUCCAGCGGUGAGUUCCUCCUGCUGACCACCUCCCCCGAUGCCCUCCACGCUGCACACUGGGCUGGUCUGCAGAGGUCGAAUGCACUCCCUGGUGACUUACACAUCUCACAAGUGCCCUCCAUCACCUGCUUGUGAACUCCUGACCACAGCAGCCUACUCCAUGUCCCCCUGUGGAUGCUGCAAUGCCCAGCACCACACUGGUGGCUCAAAGACUGCAUGCCUGAGACGGGGUCCAAACCCCUCUUCAACUGUCCUCCAAGCUUCAGGUCCACCGUGACCUCCCCCAACUCUGCUGCAGCUGCCGUGGUGCCAGCCCCCUGCCCCUCUCCUCCACCUCCAUAGAUCAGGCUUCAGUGUCUGGGGACCUGGGGACUGCUGUCCUCCUUCCCAGCAUGAAGUUCUACUGCAAGGGCCACUCUCCCUGUACAGGCCUUCCUGACCCCUCGUCCCUGGAAAGCCCUCUCCAGGGCCCUCGGCCUCGCUGUCUCACAUCACUCGCCUCCCUACCCCACCUCCCUCCUCGCACCUGGGACGCAGGUGCCCUCCGGUCACACCCUUCCAUCCCGUGUGGUGCUGAGCCCCUCACACACACGAGGGGCCCCGGAAUCACCUGCCACGUGAAUAAACAAAGUCAGAUCUGAAAUGCUUAAAAGCAAAUUAAACUUAACUC